rnacentral:rRNA from 1 species
CCUACGGGAGGCAGCAGUGGGGAAUAUUGCGCAAUGGGCGAAAGCCUGACGCAGCGCCGCCGCGUGAGGGAUGAAGGUCUUCGGAUCGUACACCUCUGUCAGCAGGGAAGAACGGUCACUGUGCUAAUCAGCAGUGACUUGACGGUACCUGCAAAGGCAGCACCGGCUAACUCCGUGCCAGCAGCCACGGUAAUACGGAGGGUGCGAGCGUUAAUCGGAAUUACUGGGCGUAAAGCGCUCGUAGGCGGUAUGUCAAGUCAAGGGUGAAAUCCCCGCGCUCAACGUGGGAACUGCCUUGGAAACUGGCAAACUGGAGGGUGUUAGAGGAUAGAGGAAUUCCAGGUGUAG